AACGCACCUUGCGCUCUUUGGUAUUCCGAAGAGCAUGCCUGUUUGAGUGUCAUGAAAAUAUCAACCUUGACUUGGGUUUAGUGCUCUUGUCUUGGCUUGGAUUUGGCCGUUUGCCGCUCGAAAGAGUCGGCUCAGCUUAAAAGUAUUAGCUGGAUCUGUCUUUGAGACUUGGUUUGACUUGGCGUAAUAAGUUAUUUCGCUGAGGACAAUCUUCGGAUUGGCCGAGUUUCUGGGACGUUUGUCCGCUUUCUAAUACAAGUUCUAGCUUGCUAGACAUGACUUUUUUAUUAUCUGGCCUCAAAUCAGGUAGGACUACCCGCUGAACUUAA
rnacentral:misc_RNA from 1 species